UGCCCAGCAACUUCAAUCCCUACUUCCGCGUGGUACCGGCCGGGCUGCGAGUAUCCUUAGGGAAGACCGGGUAACCAACCCCGGUGGGAUCUUUGGUUGUUGGCUGACAGGGAAGG
rnacentral:ribozyme from 1 species